UGAACCUGCGGAAGGAUCAUUAUUGAAU
rnacentral:rRNA from 1 species